GGACUACACGGGUAUCUAAUCCUCAUCGUUACCCAAGGCUUCGUCCCUCAACGUCAGUUUUUAUAUAGAAGAUUGCCUUCGCUGUUACCCGUCCUUCCAGUAUUAUAAAAUAUCAACUCUUCUCCGGAAAUUCGCCUCUUCUCACAUAAAACUCUAGAAAAUUAGUUCUUAUUAUAGCUUGAUUUUCAGUCUAGGUACCCUUUAAACCUAAUAAAGAUGAAUAACACUAGUCUUUUACGUAUUACCGCGGCUGCUGGCAC
rnacentral:rRNA from 1 species